UACGAAGGGGGCUAGCGUUGUUCGGAAUUACUGGGCGUAAAGGGCGCGUAGGCUGUGCUGUAAGUCAGGCGUGAAAGCCCCGGGCUCAACCUGGGAAUUGCGCUUGAUACUGCGGCGCUGGAAGGUGGGAGAGGAUGGCGGAAUUCCCAGUGUAGAGGUGAAAUUCGUAGAUAUUGGGAAGAACACCGGUGGCGAAGGCGGCCAUCUGGCCCAUUUUUGACGCUGAGGCGCGAAAGCGUGGGUAGCAAACAGG
rnacentral:rRNA from 1 species